UAUAAUUUGCGAGACGAAUCUUUUGAGCCUAAUUAACUCAUGACGGGAUAAUAAUUAUCAAAUACAAACGAAUGUGCUACAGUACUUUACGCCCAAAAAUUUUCACAUCUAAACAGGGCCUAAACAAGCCCUAAGCUUUAAAGCUGAUGUCCUGAGCUUUCUUUGUUGUCCGUUUCUGUGGGAUGUCUUCAUGUAUAUAAAUGGUGUAGGAUACAAUGUAUGCAGCGUGGGUGCGGGGGGCUGGAGCCCGCCCCCCCCCCCCCCCCGGGGCCCCACAGCUCGCCCUAAAAAUUUGGGAGGCCAUCGAUGAAGGAAGGGGGGAGGCUUCGCCCCUGAGUGUAGGGCUGCUAUGAUUAACAUCAACAGUUGCUGCAUGAUAUCUGAAUCUGAGCACAGCUGAGGCCUGAGGCUCCGCAAAAUCCUGUCGACUGCUCGCAGUCACCAGAGUCCUCGGUACUUAUCAAGUUCAAAUCUCGAACUAUUGUGAGUCUGGUUCUUCUUUUUUUUUGCCUUAAGGAAUACAGACUAAGACAGCAAUCUCAUAAUUUGCUUCAUAUAUUCAGUUCCUCGACAUGCAAAUACCACUAGUACAUUUGAUA